GUUAAGUUGUGGAGUUGUAGAGUCUUGGGCAAAUGCAUAAGCCUCUCCGAGCCUCGGUCUCCUCAUCUCAUCUGUAAAAUGGAGACAAUAACACCUUUCAAAGCUGCAAGAAAAUAUGAAGAACAGGAAGAGUAGGUGUCCAAAUGUUAUGAAAUGUCUAAUAUUGCCUCUGCUCUCUUCCCUUGAGAAGCCCACAUGCCCCUCCUGACAUUUUUUAAAUCCCCCUUCCCAUUAAGACUUCCUAGAGCUUCCGUAGAGUCUAAGGAAGUCUGAGUCGCCCUCUGAAGUGAGAGUCGGUGUUCCUAGACAGGAACAAGCCAUUUUUACCAUAAACUACAGGCCUGGAGUUCCUGGAAAGAGAUUAAAUUGCUGCAUAGUCUUGGUGGCUAUUUGGACAGCCUGCCUGGGCAACCAAAAAGCAGAAUCCUGUUCUGCGGUGAACAGCAUCCUAAGCGGGAGGGACACAUUCCCCAUCUCUGUUGAGGAUUGAGCAGGAGGCGUAGGAGAAGACGGGGCAGGGAGGUGGAGACUGAGGCACCCAGAGAAGAACAGCCAGAUGGGGAAGGGGACAGACCGCCUGGAAGAGGCAGGACCGGCAGACACCUCGUUCUCAUGCACGCUGUCUCUCUUGCAUUCUUGGCUCCAAUCUCAUCGGCUUCAGUCUCUCACCAAACAUACAGCCAGUCUGGUAUUUAUUCCAGAAGAAGAAAUGGAACCACAGAGAAAUUUACUAAUGCGCCGAAAGUCACCUAGAACAGAGAAUGAUUAGGGCUGAGAAACCAAAAGACAAGGAGACCAGAAAAAAGUCCAGACCCAGGAAACCCAUGCAAAGUUUGCUCCACCUGGAUCAGAAAAAUGGACUUAAGACUCCGGGAAGACUAAGAUGGUCAAGACAAUUGUUGGGUGGUUGUCCAUGGUCCAUAGUUUACACUCCUGAAUACCCUCCCCUCCUGCAGUGAAGUUUCUUCCACAGUAAUACGGUUCUGUGAAGAGGAACACUGGAGCCAAAACAUGUCUGGGUGUGGACAGCAGCGGUGUAACUUAAUGUGUGAUCCUGGGCCAGUCAUACUUUUUUGUGCCUCAGUUUCCUUAUCUGCCAUUAUAAACAUUUUAGAUAGUCUUUAAAGCACCUAGCCCAGAGCCUGACAAAUAAUUAGCCUUGAAUCAUGUAACUUCACUUCUCCUUUGCUGUUUAUUUUCUAGAAACCUAAUCUCAGAUUACAUUGUUUAUGCUAAGAUGGGGUGGAGAGACCCAAAGUGUGCUGUAUCUCUCAAGUCAUAGUCCCAAGAAAGAUCCUCAAGCUGCCAGGUGGUAGUAGGCAUGCAGGAAGCUGGGUGCUCAUGAGCUAAGCCACAGCUUAUCACCUUAGGCCCAGGCCAAGGCUAAUCCUCUACCCCCAGGCAGGGAUCCAAUUAAACCACAGAGAGCUCACAUUCAUCAAAGAUUUCCAUAGGUGCAGCACUCCCCAAGCUUCCUUGGCAAUAAGUUCUUUCUCUUGUCUAACUGGCAUCCCUUCUGUUAUAAUUUGAUCUCGCUUCCUUUGCCCUGCUUCCAAGGGGAAAGAAGAACAGUUGGUCAUCCC
rnacentral:lncRNA from 1 species